rnacentral:rRNA from 1 species
AUUGAACGCUGGCGGCAGGCCUAACACAUGCAAGUCGAGCGGAUGAAGGGAGCUUGCUCCUGGAUUCAGCGGCGGACGGGUGAGUAAUGCCUAGGAAUCUGCCUGGUAGUGGGGGAUAACGUCCGGAAACGGGCGCUAAUACCGCAUACGUCCUGAGGGAGAAAGUGGGGGAUCUUCGGACCUCACGCUAUCAGAUGAGCCUAGGUCGGAUUAGCUAGUUGGUGGGGUAAAGGCCUACCAAGGCGACGAUCCGUAACUGGUCUGAGAGGAUGAUCAGUCACACUGGAAGUGAGACACGGUCCAGACUCCUACGGGAGGCAGCAGUGGGGAAUAGUGGGCAAUGGGCGAAAGCCUGAUCCAGCCAUGGCGCGUGUGUGAAGAAGGUCUUCGGAUUGGAAAGCCCGUUAAGUUGGGAGGAAGGGCAGUAAGUUAAUACCUUGCUGUUUUGACGUUACCAACAGAAUAAGCACCGGCUAACUUCGUG